rnacentral:lncRNA from 1 species
UUUUUUUUUUUUUUUUUUUUUGUGAAGGAUUAAAAUUAGAAAACAAAAAAUGCAAACUUCUCGCUGGUUCUUCCUGUCAAAGUUUCAAACGGAUGUUAUUUUGGGAAUGUAUUUCAAGACCAUCCUAUUUUUCGCUACCCUUAAUUCCAUUACUGGUGGAGCAUUGCUAUAGUGCCUCCUCUGCUGGCAAAACGAUUCAUGACCCAAGAAUUGAACAGCCUGAUUCUAAAGACAGUCGAGUUUUAAUUGUUAGAUUAUUACUACUAGCUCAUAGGCGCUCGUUUCGAAAGAAUUCUUGCUGGCGCUGGCAAUGAGCCACACGAGGAGGAAUUCUUUCGUUUAAUAUUCUUUCAUUUGACCUUCGCAACAAAUAUUCAAGUCAUGGCGGAAGAUCUCGAAAUGCAGGGUAGCGAUGCCGGCAACAACAGGGACUCUGAAGGGCCAAAUGAAACGAGUACCAAGGGUUCCUUCCAUGGGGACCUGAUUCUCGCAAAGAAAUAUCAGCCUUCGCUGCGUCGGCGAAAAGUAAUUAAUUUGUUUCAAUUGUUGAUCAUCAUAAAAUCUGUUGGACUAGUGACAGCCAUCUUGUAUUUUAUGAUCACAGAACGCAACGAUGGGAGAGUCCUUCUAAUUUCCAUCGAUCCCACAGAUGAAUUUAUGGUUACUAAUUCAGACAAAAUGCUGGUGUUUGACGUCUCAGGAAUACACGUUGGUGCAAACAUUGUUGUUGGCGUAUCAGUCUCUUGGAGUCGUGUACGGAGACAUUGGCACUUCACCUCUCUACGUGUUGUCAUCUGUUCGGCUCGACAAACCUACGGAAGAAGACAUGAUCGGAAUCCUCAGUCUCGUCUUUUGGACCUUGACCAUAAUCCCGUUGAUCAAAUACGUCUUCAUUGUCCUUCGGGCUGAUGAUCAUGGCGAAGGUGGAACUUUUGCUCUGUAUUCUUAUCUGUGCAGGCAUAUAAACUUCCGAAGCAAACUGACCAUCCAAAGCACAAGAUUAGAAUCUGAUGCAACCAUGAGUUUUUACACCCAAGGGAGUGCAAUACAGUCUAAGACCAAACAAUUCAUUGAAAACAGUCGCGCAGCACAGAAUCUCCUCACGUUCGUUGUACUUUUGGGUACCUCGAUGGUGAUCGGUGAUGGCGCCUUGACACCGGCCACCAGUGGUAAGCAAUCGAUCAUAAACCCAACAUUCGUAGUAAUGAAUGAUAAUACUCGAAUCAUUAACGGUUGAAAUUCUCUUUCAUUAACGGUAUGUUUCUAUGGCACUUAAAACAUUCCUUCCACGACUAAUAAUCUUUCCGUACAGUUCUUUCGGCUCUUGCGGGAAUUCAAACACUUUCCUCAAAGAUAACAACAGGUACAUUUUUGUUCAUCUGCAUAUCAUGGUAUUUGAUUAAUAAUGAAACUACCAAAAUUAUACAAAUGAGUGAUGUUUGGUCAGGGUAUGUUGUGUUCAUGGCGGUUGUGAUACUGUUGGCUCUAUUCCUUUUCCAGUCAUGUGGGACGAGCAAAGUCGGGUUCUCAUUCUCCCCGAUCAUGUUUUUGUGGUUUGCUGCGAAUGUUUUCAUUGGCAUUUACAAUAUUGUCGCCUAUAAUCCUGCUGUCCUCCGUGGUUUAUCACCUCACUACAUUUUCAAGUUCUUUGGAAAACAAGGCAAAUCUGGCUGGGAGGUUUUAGGCGCCGUUUUCUUGUGCACAACAGGAGGAGAAGCCAUGUUUGCUGAUUUGGGCCACUUUAAUAAGAGAGCCAUUCAGGUGUUUGCCAUUACAAAGUUUAAAUGCUCAAUACUCUGCAUCGAGCAGCCCAUAACAAAUGUUUGCAAGUUUAGUUAACCAAUCACAAUACUGCUUUUGCAGCUGGCUUUCUCCUUCUUUGUCUAUCCAUCUCUGGUGCUGUGUUAUGCUGGUGAGGUAGCUUUCUUGUCUAAGCAUCCCGAUGCCCUGACCAACGCUUUCUACAGCUCCAUUCCUAAGACAGUUUACUGGCCGAUGUUCGUGUUAGCAACCUUGGCCGCAACAAUUGCCAGCCAAUCUAUGAUAUCGGCCUCAUUUUCUAUUGUUAAGCAAUCUUUGGCUUUAGGUUGCUUCCCCCGGGUUAACAUAAAGCAGACAUCCCCCAAACAUGCGGGGCAAAUUUACUCCCCAGAAAUCAACUACAUCCUGAUGAUCAUUUGUAUUGCUCUCGUAUUGAGAUUCAAACAAGGGGUUGAGAUAGGAAACGCAUAUGGUAAUUAAACCGCCUUUUUCAGCUAUAUGAAGUUCGACUCGAGUGAAUAUUGGUAUAUAUGUUGGAUAUUAAUCAAUCUUGGCCUAAUCAACUGCAGGUGUGGCUGUCAUAUGGGUGAUGAUAAUAACUACAUGUUUGGUGACGCUGGUGAUGUUGGUCAUUUGGGAUACAAAGUUUCCUCUGAUCCUUGCAUUUUUCAUUCCAUUCAUAUUCAUCGAGGGCGCAUUCAUGACUUCCUUGCUCAACAAAAUCCCUCAAGGUGGAUGGGUGCCAUUUGCAAUCUCCGGUUUCUUCCUGGUGAUCAUGCUGUCGUGGACUAGCGGGAGGAGCAAAAAGACCUCAUUUGAUGCAGAAAGGAAGCUGAGUCUAACGGAAUUCACGAGCGUGCUGUCGAGUAAUGAUCUCUAUCGUCCCCCUGGUAUUUGUCUCUUCUGUACCGACCUUGUCAAUGGGAUUCCGCCCAUCGUUCGCCAUUAUAUUCAGAGCACAAACUCUCUUCGUGAAAUUACCGUGAUCAUCACAAUAAGGACCCUACCAAUCAAAACAGUCCUUGCAGAGGAGCGUCUUGACGUGGGAAGAUUGGGAAUAGAUGGGGUAUACAGGUGUUUGAUUCAGUUCGGUUACAAGGAUUUGCAGAGCUUGGAAGAAGAUGACAUUGUUGCUUCCAUUGUGGCAAAACUCCGCGACACAGCUGAAACGGAGGAAGAGGCAGAAAAGCUUGGAAAAGCUAUGAAGAAAGGCGUGGUGUUCGUGGCUGGUCGGACUAUUCUCAAAUCGAAGGAGAGCAAUGGAUGGCUUUCUCAUUUGGUGAUAGAUUACUUGUACAGAUUCCUGCAGAAGAACUGCAGAUCAGCACUCACUUCACUUAAAAUCCCUCCUGGAAAGUUUUUACAAGUUGGGAUGCACUAUGAAAUUUAAGACCACCUGCGCGAUCCGUCAGCUUCACUCUAUGAUUCUAUCUAAUUAAUUUUGUUCGAUGUCCUUCAUGGCAGCACUAAUAAUGUAAGUUUCGAACUUUGUCUGCUGUAAAAUUAAGCACAGUCCUACGGUCCCAAGUCUUUGAACAAUGAGUGAGAACGAGGAAAGAUGGUAAAGCGUAUUGAACGAGUAUUAGAUGGAUACUCUCCUAAUGCAUCACAAUUAGCAUAGUGGUUCUUUGUUUUUAAAAAAUUCAUGGAGUGCAAUAAUAUAGGUUAAUGUAGUAGUAGUAGGGUAGAUUUUUGUUGUUGCCAAAAAAAAGUAAAAAAAAAAAGAGCAUUAGAUUAAUACCUUUGGUGACGUAGUAUUUUAUAGGCAAUUUCCCUUUAAUAUUACCACUUCCAUCAUCAAGCUUAACUUAUGCGAGCUUGGAACUUUUUUCCUAAAAAAAAAAAAAAUUAUUUUUAAUUCUGUUCCAAAAGAGUGAGGGUGCAUUUGAUAAAACUGAAAUCUAAAAUCUGAAACACGAGCUCAUCGAAAACAAACAGGCAUGCGUACGUAGAAGUUAAAAUUUUGAAACUAAAGGCUAUUCGAAUUUUCACGGCUUCAAUAGGAUUUUACAUCUUAGAUACAUACCACUGCAUGAAAAUUCUCGCCUGCUGCAUCAAUUAAUGGCUGCCAAUCACUUCGAGAGUUUAAAUAAUUAUUCUUGUUUCUGACCGUAGGUGGACGUGGAGCCAUGAAGCUUAGCGUUAAAAAAUGACCCAAUUAAUGUACUAAUCACUCGGACAGUUUAAUUAUCUUUCUUGUCUCAGUCCGUAGGUGGAACCAUGAAUCUUAGCGUUAAAAAUGACCCAAAUAAAUUACUCCCUCCGUCCCACUUUGAUAGUCUUGUUUCUUUUUUCACACAGUUUAAGAAAAAGUAGUUAACUUUGUUGGAAAAGUAAAUUUAGAUUGCUAUUUUUCUAAAAUACCCUCACAUUAAAUAUGGUACAACUUUAUGGGAACUUGAAUUGAUGGUAAAAAAAGAAUCAAUUCUCAUUAAAUGGGGUAGGUUUAUAGUAACAACUACUUACAUUGAAUAAGGGUAUUUUAGGAAAAUUAAAAUACAACUACAUUCUUAAAUUGGAGAGUGGACUACAAUUUGGGACAGAUGAAAAAGGAAUACAGGACUAUCAAAGUGGGACGGAGGGAGUAUUAGCUUUUUAGAACAAAGUAGUAGUACUUGCCGACAAAAGAGCGACCCUUAGUGGGCAUGGUGGAGCAUGCAUUUCCAUCCGUACCCGUUUAAACAUCCACACCCACCUCACUUAAUUGGUUUUGGAUUACUAAAAAAAUUUAGAUGGACGUUAAUGGACAUCCAAGUAAAAUCAAUUGGUUUGACGUUUUUAAGUGGAUGAUCAUCCACAUAAUCCAUCUAAAUCCAUUUUAAAAAGUAAUGAGCAAGCCCAGCACGUUUUGGCAGUACUAAUGAUAAUGUUUCUUAUAUGCUAACACUUUUUAUGAUGUGAUGUAUGUGAGAUAAAACGGUGAUUGAGAAUAUAAAAAGGUGAAUUGAAAAAUGUGUUUAUAAUGCAAGCGAAAAAUUUGCUAUCCAAACAUAGCCACAGUUGCACUCCCAGUCCAAGACGUUGUUCAGCUCUUCCCACUCACGCGAUCAAAGUUUUUUUUUUUUUUUUUUUCUCUCAAUCCAAUUUAGUUAUCAUCAGAACUCAUCCUAUUAACUUAGGAGUGUCAUUUUAAUCUACCUAUUAGUUAAAGAAAUUAACUUUGUGUUAGUCAAAUAGAUCUUGACUUUGUGUUAGUUAAAUAGAUUUUAAAUAAAAAAUUGAGUAUACAUCAUUCAUUUGGAUCCAAUCCACAUAUAACCCACUUAUUAUAUGGAUUUAAAUCGAUUUGAUUAUUUAAUCUAUGAUCCAUUUAUAUAAAACAAAUUAUGAUCCAAAUAUCCAUUUUUACACCUCUACCUAAUAUUACUUGAAUUCGAGGCUUAUAAUCAACAAGCUCUCGACUCUUUUUUUUUUGGGUAUUUUUUUUCCUUCUUUUUUUGGUUUUUUGGGGGGGGGGGGGGGGAGUUCAUAACAAUCAUGUACGUAAUUUGAUUUCGCUAUUCUUGAUACGUAUAAGCCUCUUAAACAGCAAUCAUUCGUUGAAUUUUUAUUUUUUAAUGUGGGCUCUGUUGUGGAGGCAAUGCUUUUAAAUUGAUUCCUGCACAUUCUGUAUUUCAUUCACAUGGUACCAAAGCCAACUUCGAAGUUCGAUUGCAAAUUCCAAAGCACUCACUAUAGCCAAUUGUCACGUUGGAUCAGAUUCAGGCCGCUCUACAAAAUAAUAACAAGCAUGGAAGGCAAAGUUGCUAACAGCUCCGUGCUAGAAGACGAUCUUGAAAAUGGUGGCACUGGAGAGGACACGGUCGGUUUUCGCCCAGCUGGUGCUGGAAACAUUAUUGAACUAUCAUCUGCCGUGGACAGAACCCUGAGCUUUAGUCGAGUUUUCAAGUCUUCCCCAACGCCAAACGAGCCCAAGGUCUAUAUAUACCAUAUAUGCUUGGUCGAUUGCCAUUUCUCAUCUUAGGUUAUUCAGUCACAUAUAUAUGUUGCCUUGCUUCAGUCCAUAGAUUAAACACACGACCGGCAUGUACACUCAACUCUAAACUAAGUAUCAGGCAACUUUUUUAACACCUAAACACAAUUUUUUUAACAAUCAUAUGAUGUGAUCAGGAAUAUCCAGCGGCGCAGACAUUGUUGUUGGCUUACCAAUCACUUGGAGUUGUGUAUGGAGACCUUGCUACCUCUCCUGUCAACGUGUUUUCCGCUACAAACUUGACAAACGUUACUGCAGAAGAUCUACUGGGGACCUUCAGCCUUAUGUUUUGGAGUUUGACUAUCAUAGUUUGGAUCAAAUAUGUUUUCAUCGUCAUUCAUGCCGAUGAUCAUGGUGAAGGAGGUACUUUCGCUUUAUAUUCCUAUCUCCGUCGACAUAUAAAUUUCCGGACCAAGUUUACAAUUCAAAAUACAAGGUUGAGCACUGAUGAAAGCAUGAGGUUUUCUAACCGCCCCAGCCCCCUACGUUCCAAGACCAAGGAAUUCAUAGAGAGAAGUAUCAGAGCUCAGAAUUUUAUUAUUGUAAUUGUUUUGCUUGGAACUUGCAUGGUCAUUGGGGAUGGAGCACUGACUCCAGCCACUAGCGGUAAUUUCUGCCUCCGAACCAUUCGAAGGAACAAACACAUAUCUUGACAGUCGGGGUUUCAUAACAAUCUCUUGCAAAACAAAAUGUAUUGUUGCUCCGUAAGAAAUUCAUAGCAGUAUUUGAAAUGCUCCUCGUGCGACUUUUAAACUAACAAUAAACAGCAUCUCGGGUCCAAAAGCUCUUUAAAAUCAGGGUUUAUUAUUUCUUUUAUUUUUUUUUCAAGCUCUUUUUUCCCCUUUUUAUGGGCAGUACUAUCAGCGGUUCAAGGUGUCCAAUCCCUCUCUCCAAAGAUUACCCAAGGUACGUACUUCUUGAUUGAAGUUUAUCUUCUUGAGAGUAAAGCAGUCCCAGGAUACUCACAGCAACUACAGAAUUUUCCCUUUUUUGACUGCCGCAGACCAUGUUGUGUUCACGUCCGUUGCUGUUCUGAUACCACUCUUCCUCUUCCAACGCUGCGGAACAAGCAAAGUCAGCUUCACCUUCUCUCCAAUCAUGCUACUCUGGCUGGCUACCAAUGCUUCCAUCGGAAUUUACAACAUUUUCAAAUAUUAUCCGUCCAUUCUCAAGGCUGUGUCCCCUCACUACAUAGUGCUGUUCAGUUCAAGAAAUGCCAAAACUUUAUGGAAUCUUCUUGGUGCUGUAUUCUUGGGCAUAACAGGUACUGUCCUAGAAUUUUCUGGAAAAGUUUUAAGGAUUUUCUACUUCCGAAUUUAAUGAAUUUGAAAGCAAAAAACUCUGAAAUGGAUCUGCCAGUAAAGCUUCACUUGAACUACAAAAGGUUCACUUGAAUUUCAUAUAUUGAUUGGGACAGGAGCCGAGGCCAUGUUUGCUGAUCUGGGUCACUUCAACAAGCAAGCAAUUCAGGUGAGGAAUCACAAAACCAUCUAUGAUUGCAUUUACGUUGGAAAGGGAAAAUACAAAAUAGACGUGUUUACUCGUGAACCCAAAGAAUACAUAUAUGCAUAUUGCGUCACAGGCAUAUUUAGAUUUAAUAAAAAAUUAGAACGCUGUACAAAUUAAUGCACGAUCAUACUACUAUUUUUAUUGUAUAUUUUUGUGAUGAGUGAAUAUUUUGGUAAGUAUUUAUUCGUCUAAUUUCUGGCUAUCAUGGUUAUUUGGCUACUUGAUGGCAAGGCAACUUAGCUCAUUCGUUGUUUUGUGCAGUGGGCUUUCUCAUUCGUUGUUUAUCCAGCAUUAAUCAUCACCUACGCUGGUGAAACGGCUUACCUAAUCAAGUAUCCAGAGAAAAUCAAUAACGCCUACUACAGUUGCCUUCCGCGUCCAGUAUACUGGCCUAUGUUUGUCAUCUCCACACUGGCCGCCGUUGUUGCUAGCCAGUCCAUGAUAUCUGCAAGCUUUUCUAUCGUGAAGCAGUCACUGACCCUCGGCUGUUUUCCUCCAGUCAAAAUGGUUCACACUUCUUCCAAGCAUGAAGGGCAAGUUUACUCCCCAGAAGUUAACUACGCCCUAAUGAUUCUCUGUGUUGGUCUUGUCAUUGGAUUUAAAGGCGGCGUUGCACUAGCAAAUGCUUACGGUAAGCUUCCCUUCCCUUCCCUUCCCUCAAUUACUGUCGAUGAUGACCGUACUUACAUAUAUAUAUAUAUAUAUAUAUAUAUAUGUAUAUAUAUAUAUACUAGGGUAAUUAAAAAAAAAAAUGAAGUUCUGUUGGCUUCUAUCUGUACACAUUGCAGGUGUGGUUGUCAUCUGGGUCAUGCUCAUAACAACUCUUUUGACCUCGUUAGUUAUGCUCGUCAUCUGGAACUCCAAUAUACUUCUAGUCCUAGGUUUUCUCGUACCAUACGUAUUAAUUGAGGGCAUCUUCAUGACGUCCAUGCUUAACAAAAUUCCACAAGGAGGAUGGGUGCCAUUUGCCAUCUCAGCUAUCCUCGGGACUGUGAUGCUGUCUUGGACGUAUGGAAGGAGUAAGAAGAGCAUGUAUGAAGGAGGAGGAAAGAUGAGCAUUGGUGAGUUAAACCAGAAGCUAUCAAGCACUUGUAUCUUUAGAACGCCAGGAAUUUGCUUCUUUUUUACGGACCUUGUCGAUGGUAUUCCACCAAUUAUCCGGCAUUAUAUUCAGCACACUAAUUCAGUUCGUGAGAUAAUGGUGGUAGUUACCAUUAGAACUCUUCCCAUCAAAACUGUCCUACCAGAGGAACGUUUCGUUGUGGGCAGGUUGGGAGUUGAAGGAGUUUAUAGGUGUUUGGUUCAGCUGGGAUACAAGGACUCGCUAAAUAUGGAAGGUGGUGAUUACGCUCGAGAAAUUGUGGCUAAGCUACGAGGAAAUGCGGACACUACAGCCGAACAACGAAAACUUCAUUCUGCCUCAGAAAAUGAAACUGUUUUUGUCAUGGGCAGGACAAUUCUUGCUGCAAAUGAGAACGAUGGAUGGCUUGCCCGUUUCACCAUAGAGUAUUUGUACAGAUUUCUUCAAAAGAACUGCAGGUCAUCAGUUUCGGCACUUCAUUUGCCACCGGAAAAGACAAUGCAGGUUGGAAUGCUAUAUAGACUGUAAAGCAAAUCUAGGAAGUCGCCUAGUUUCUUAGUAUAUGGAUGCUAGUACAAAAUGAAGCCCUUCAAGCUAAUAUGUACAUGAGCAGAAGAAUAUCCAAUCCUCGUUCCGGUACCUAUAUGUUCAGGUCAAUAAGGCUACAUGCAAAAUCGAUUUCACGCUUAACUCGAAAGUGAGAACAAGUUAGCCUACUUUCAAGGAAAGGAAUCUAGCACACCACUUUUCUUGCAGCCUCUAAAUUGAAUAUCGAUUACACUUGCAAACUAGAGAUUCUCAACUGCUAUGUGACCAUCUACUAACUUUUGCCAUCGUCUAAUUUCAAGCUUGCACCCCCACUGAUUGAAGUAGAUUGUAACACAAAAUUUUCAUAAAUACUAGUCCAGAGGCCCUGCGCAUAGCGUGACCCGUGUUAAUAGUGUGUUUGUGUGGUGACGUUUUAAAUUUUUUUUUUUUGUAAUGUGGUGAAUGAAUUGAUGCAGAAAAAUAUUUUGCAAUAUGUAAAAUAAUUGCGAGGUAGUUUGUUUUGAUUGAAUGAGGGUAAUUGGAAAGAAUUAUUGGUAGGUUAUUAUAUAGAAUGUGAUUUAAUGUUGAAGUAAAACGAUAGCGUGUAUAUAUUGUAUAGUUAUGAAAUUGGACAAUAUGGGAAUAGUAUUAAAUGUUGAAAGGCAUAACUUUAUAGUUAUUUCAUAUUGCAGCAACUUUUGCAAGUUCAUUAUCGAAUAUGUGCAUUCGAUACUCGUUCAUGCCUAAGUGGGUAAUUAUGAGAGCAUAGCAUAGUCAAAUAAUAUGGUAUCAUAGCAUUUUUUUUGCAUUCAUAGGUUAAAAAUUUAUCUUCAACUUUGAUGUCCCAACAUUUGUGUUGGUAAUAGAAGAUGAUUAUAUUGUUUUUGUUUGGCAAUAUAUUUGCUGUAUCUUCUGGAUGGAAUUUGUGCAGAAUAACAUAAAUGGCUAAAAUAAAUUUAUGUGCAAUUUUUUUGUAUGUCUUUGGGUUAAUACCUGUUUAAAAAAUUUGGCUUCCUAAAAUUUCCAUGUCCAUGGGCUUGAUGACUACAUAAAAUGCAAAAUUUAUGAGGAAACUUUAUCUUGCAGAAAAUGCUUGCAAUUGUUAAAUAAAUAAAUAAAUAGGAAGUUGUAUUGUUAAAUUCUGUGGAUAUAUUUUAUUAUUAAUUAUGUUACCAUGUUGCUUUUGCAUAUGUGCUUUCAAUAGGGAUGAUAUUCCAUUCAUAGAAGCUAGUGUAGUGAUUUGGGUUGAAAAUUUGAACUCUAAAUGUCAUCACUCCAAUGUGGAAAAAAUGAAUUAGUGAGUUUGGCUGCAGAUUGCGAUCAUCAAUGAAUUUUUUCCAUCUAGAGUUUUGGGGAUUUUCAUCUAGUUUUAGAAACCAUAUUUUGUUUCCAACUUUGAAAAUUGCUUUUCUUCUUAUGUGUGGUUCCAAGUAAUGUAUAAUUUUUGGUGGUAUGACCUGCAAUUAAGAUCUAAAUAUGUGUUAAAUGUGUUUCGGAGAAAAAUUGAUGUAAAUUAAGGAAAUUUUAUAAAAUGGAUACCAAUGUAUCAUCGUCUAGCUCAUUAUACUGCAUCAAGAAUGCAUUGAUUGGAAAAAUUGUAAUGGACAUGUUGGUGCGAUGAAAUCCAAACCCAACACGACAAAUAAAAUAAUAGUUAGUUAUAUAAAGUAAGAUUGGAUGUAUUAGCUUUUUAUUUGUUUUAAAUAGUAAUUGUACUUGAAUGAAGAUGAACUGGUAGAUAUAAUUGUAUAAAAAAGGCAAAAAGAUAAUAUUUUUACAAUAUAAUUAAAAUACUCAUGAUCAUAAUUGUGUAAUAAAAUAUAAAGUUAAAAGCUCAAGGCAUACCCAGAACAAAUGCUAAGAAGAGAUCUAAAUUUGGUAGACACAAUAUUUUCUUUGCUUUAGUUUAGCCAGCACAACUUCUUCGGAUUUUUUUUAUGGAUAUAUUUUUUUUAUUUUCUUUAUGAAUACAUAUAAAUGUCUAUAUAAGUCGAAACUCAUUGUUCCAUGUAGAAUUUACAUUGCAUGGUAUAUUUUGUAACCAUCAUUGGAAUUACUUUUACAGCAAUCAAUUAAAGUAAUUAUUUGUUUAUCCAUGCAAAGCAUUCACCCUUUUAUAUACUUUUAUAUAUGCACAUGUGGUUCAUAAACCAAACAUUCGAAGAACCAAUUACGAAAUUAAUUGAAAAAAAAUUAAAAUAUCGAGAAUAAGAAAGAGUUUUUUUUUUUGAAAAUGAAAAAAAUGAAUUCUAAGAAUAUAAAAGAAGCCAGUAAAUUAUAGAAAAUAUAAAAGAAAAAGUCAUGGGAAACAAAAAAAGAACAGAGUAAAAAGGGGAAUUUUCCAAUAAACAAGAGCAGAGGUUGUCAAAAGCACGGUACAAAAAACCAGCCCAUUCGUCUGGUCCACAUAUGAUAACAGUAAGUAAACAAAAAUGAGGGUCAAAAGCCAAUAAAAUUACAAAGGAACCAAGCAACUAAAGCAUACAUGCUGAACUAAGGAAACAAUGAAUGGCAUAACAGAAAAAUAAGAGAUAUCCAAGCCUAAAGUAAUACUCAUAAAUAUGUAUGUGGGCCAUGUCUAUGGAUGAGAAGAGGCAAGAAAGACACACGUAAAAAUUACAAAGAAACCACUUUACUAUACCGUCGAUCUUCCCAUGUGCUGAGUAAAAGAGGAAUAAGAAAUGGCAAAACCGAAAAAUGAAUGACCAUUAAGGCUAAUCCUAAUCACUCUAACAACCGGAAAUGCAAGAGACCGACGCAAAUGGAUCGAAAUACCCUCAACAUUUCAAGCAAUGCCGAAAUACACCCUCUCUCACUGUUCAUUCAAGCAACCCUCACUUUUAUAUAGUUAGAUAGAUAGAUAAAUAAAAUAAAAAAUUAAGUUGGCAUACCAUGUAAAAAGAAGGGCAAUUGCUUGGUUACUUUCGAACAUCAAGUUACAAGCAUCUAUAAGUAUAUACAAAUGAGGUUACGAAAAAGAAGAUUAUAGGUGUGCUUGGAUAGUAAAUUAUUUUUUGAAAAAAUUAUUAUAGCAAUUUUUGAUAUGAUAUAUACGAGAUUAGAAGGUGAUUAAAACGUGUUUAUAUUAUAUUUUACACGCUCCAUGAGGCGAUGAGCCAUCAAGUGAUACCAUUCUUGUUUUUAAAACCUUCUUGUGUUUCUUUUACAAUAAUCCGUCUCACCCCAUGCGACCUUCCAUGCAAGUGAUACCAUUCUCUAGGACAAAGUUGGAAAGAAAACAAAAUCUAUCCGAGCAAAUACGAAUGGACAACUGGAGGAUGAAGCCGAGAAAAAUUUCUUGCCAAUGACAUCGUAAGAACAUUCUUGACUAAGAAACCCUUGAGCAACAUAGGAAGCAUAAACUACGAAAGUUUCGUGUGAUGUUUUCCCACUAAUCUGGAAUUCUUUCAAAUUACUAAUAAGCUCACACCCUAAACUCAAAGCACAAAACGCACUAAGCAAUCACAUAUUAACACCAUCCGAGAUACUUGUAUCAGCAUUCACAAAUUAAUAUUACAUCCAUGUAAAAAAUUAACUUCACAAUGUCUC